GGGAAUGUGGCUUAGUGGUAAAGAGCUUGCCUAGAUUGCAAGAAGCCAGGGGUUUGAUUCCUCAGUACCA
rnacentral:tRNA from 1 species